AACCAACAGGUACGACGCUGAAGAAUCAGUACAAGGUGGACCAGGUUGUCUGGAGAAUACGGACUUGGAUUAAUCGGUCAAGGAAUCGGAAAGACCUGGAGGGAGCUGCCAAAAGUUUCAUAAACUAAGGAAUGUUUUGCCUUGUGUUCCCCAAGAAGGUGACACAGCCAAUACCACAGAAUCAACAUACCAUAGCCACCUGCGAGCCAAGGCCAACGACAAACUCUAAGGCACAGAACCCCCCAAAAGGCAUGGCAUCCUGCACAAAUGAGUUAUGGAUUCUAUUAACCUGCUCAACCUGAAGACAAGUCAAAUGGAAGCAUUCAC